rnacentral:rRNA from 1 species
CAGCAGCCGCGGUAACACGUAGGGUGCAAGCGUUAAUCGGAAUUACUGGGCGUAAAGCGUGCGCAGGCGGUUAUAUAAGACAGAUGUGAAAUCCCCGGGCUCAACCUGGGAACUGCAUUUGUGACUGUAUAGCUAGAGUACGGCAGAGGGGGAUGGAAUUCCGCGUGUAGCAGUGAAAUGCGUAGAUAUGCGGAGGAACACCGAUGGCGAAGGCAAUCCCCUGGGCCUGUACUGACGCUCAUGCACGAAAGCGUGGGGAGCAAACAGGAUUAGAUACCCCAGUAGUCCCUGUCUCUUAUAC